UAAGUAAGCUUUGAUCCAGAGAUUUCCGAAUGGGGAAACCCAGCAUGAGUUAUGUCAUGUUAUCGAUAUGUGAAUACAUAGCAUAUCAGAAGGCACACCCGGAGAACUGAAACAUCUUAGUACCCGGAGGAAGAGAAAGAAAAUUCGAUUCCCUUAGUAGCGGCGAGCGAAACGGGAAGAGCCCAAACCAACAAGCUUGCUUGUUGGGGUUGUAGGACACUCUAUACGGAGUUACAAAGGACGACAUUAGACGAAUCAUCUGGAAAGAUGAAUCAAAGAAGGUAAUAAUCCUGUAGUCGAAAAUGUUGUCUCUCUUGAGUGGAUCCUGAGUACGACGGAGCACGUGAAAUUCCGUCGGAAUCUGGGAGGACCAUCUCCUAAGGCUAAAUACUCUCUAGUGACCGAUAGUGAACCAGUACCGUGAGGGAAAGGUGAAAAGCACCCCGGAAGGGGAGUGAAAUAGAACCUGAAACCGUGUGCUUACAAGUAGUCAGAGCCCGUUAAUGGGUGAUGGCGUGCCUUUUGUAGAAUGAACCGGCGAGUUACGAUUUGAUGCAAGGUUAAGCAGUAAAUGUGGAGCCGUAGCGAAAGCGAGUCUGAAUAGGGCGUUUAGUAUUUGGUCGUAGACCCGAAACCAGGUGAUCUACCCUUGGUCAGGUUGAAGUUCAGGUAACACUGAAUGGAGGACCGAACCGACUUACGUUGAAAAGUGAGCGGAUGAACUGAGGGUAGCGGAGAAAUUCCAAUCGAACCUGGAGAUAGCUGGUUCUCUCCGAAAUAGCUUUAGGGCUAGCCUCAAGUGAUGAUUAUUGGAGGUAGAGCACUGUUUGGACGAGGGGCCCCUCUCGGGUUACCGAAUUCAGACAAACUCCGAAUGCCAAUUAAUUUAACUUGGGAGUCAGAACAUGGGUGAUAAGGUCCGUGUUCGAAAGGGAAACAGCCCAGACCACCAGCUAAGGUCCCAAAAUAUAUGUUAAGUGGAAAAGGAUGUGGCGUUGCCCAGACAACUAGGAUGUUGGCUUAGAAGCAGCCAUCAUUUAAAGAGUGCGUAAUAGCUCAC
rnacentral:rRNA from 1 species